rnacentral:rRNA from 1 species
GACGAACGCUGGCGGCGUGCUUAACACAUGCAAGUCGAACGAAGUGGCGAACGGGUGAGUAACGCGUAAACAACCUGCCCUUCAGAGGGGGACAACAGUUGAAAACGACUCCUAAUACCGCAUACGGAAGGAGGGGAUUGCGUCUGAGUAGCUAGUCGGAGGGGUAACGGCCCACCAAGGCGAUGAUCAGGCGCCGGUCUGAGGGGAUGGACGAGCACAAUGGGACUGGGACAAGGCCCAGACUCAUACGGGAGGCAGCAGUGGGGAAUCUUCCGCAAUGGACGGAAGUCUGUCGGAGCAACGCCGCGUGAGUGAUGGCGGCCUUCGGGUUGUAAAGCUCUGUUAAGCGGGACGCGGUACCGGAAUAGAAAGCCACGGCUAACUACGUGCCAGCAGCCGCGGUAAUAC